rnacentral:rRNA from 1 species
CGGACGGGUGAGUAACGCGUGGACAACCUACCCCGCACUGGGGGACAACAGCCGGAAACGGCUGCUAAUACCGCAUAUGCGCACGGCCCCGCAUGGGGCCGCGCGGAAAGCGCAUGCGGUGCGGGAUGGGUCCGCGUCUGAUUAGCUUGUUGGCGGGGUAACGGCCCACCAAGGCGACGAUCAGUAGCCGGCCUGAGAGGGUGGACGGCCACAUUGGGACUGAGACACGGCCCAGACUCCUACGGAAGGCAGCAG